GAUAGUGUUAACUUGUAGUGAUGAAAGAGUGUAAGCGUGGAAGAAUGAGAUUGAUAUUACCAUUGUGAGUUUUUCAAAGAUUCUUCACUACACAAAGACCUUAGACCUAUCACAAGAAGUGCAUUUGGGAUAAGGGAAAGGGAAGUUUUUGCGUUUGUGAGAAUGGGAAAGUUUGAAAGAAUGAUGGCAGAGUUUGCAAAGGAAUUGUUGGUUACCGUAUUUGUCAUGACCGUUUUUGUACAA
rnacentral:rRNA from 1 species